rnacentral:rRNA from 1 species
UACGUAGGGCGCAAGCGUUAUCCGGAAUUAUUGGGCGUAAGGAGCUCGUAGGCGGUUUGUCGCGUCUGCUGUGAAAACCCGAGGCUCAACCUCGGGCCUGCAGUGGGUACGGGCAGACUAGAGUGCGGUAGGGGAGAUUGGAAUUCCUGGUGUAGCGGUGGAAUGCGCAGAUAUCAGGAGGAACACCAAUGGCGAAGGCAGAUCUCUGGGCCGUAACUGACGCUGAGGAGCGAAAGCAUGGGGAGCGAACAGG